rnacentral:sRNA from 12 species
CCUUCGGACUGUUGUAUCAAACGAAAGUAGCUUCGGUGAAAUCGGACAGGAUGAACAAGGAA